rnacentral:rRNA from 1 species
AUUGAACGCUGGCGGCAGGCCUAACACAUGCAAGUCGAGCGGAUGACGGGAGCUUGCUCCUUGAUUCAGCGGCGGACGGGUGAGUAAUGCCUAGGAAUCUGCCUGGUAGUGGGGGACAACGUUUCGAAAGGAACGCUAAUACCGCAUACGUCCUACGGGAGAAAGUGGGGGAUCUUCGGACCUCACGCUAUCAGAUGAGCCUAGGUCGGAUUAGCUAGUUGGUGAGGUAAAGGCUCACCAAGGCGACGAUCCGUAACUGGUCUGAGAGGAUGAUCAGUCACACUGGAACUGAGACACGGUCCAGACUCCUACGGGAGGCAGCAGUGGGGAAUAUUGGACAGUGGGCGAAAGCCUGAUCCAGCCAUGCCGCGUGUGUGAAGAAGGUCUUCGGAUUGUAAAGCACUUUAAGUUGGGAGGAAGGGCAGUAAGUUAAUACCUUGCUGUUUUGACGUUACCAACAGAAUAAGCACCGGCUAACUUCGUGCCAGCAGCCGCCGUAACAC